CUUUCUUCUUGGCAUGUCUUGUCCAUUCCCCCAGGAGGCAAGGGCCCUGCUGGGGUCGGCCCCUCCCCAGGGCACAUCUCCGGUUCAAGAGGAAGGACGGAGAGCUUCAUCCCUUGCCCAGUGUGUGCGUGAACGAUUCCAUCUCUGGUUUGCGUCGUGCUAGAGGAGGUGUUUAUAAUUCUCCUCCACGGCUGCGUCUUUCCCGGGUCCCCUCGAAUGCUCAUCUUAUGUGCAGUGGGGAGGAAGAGAGGAUCACAGAAGAGAAACGUUACACUUCGGCUGCUUUGAACUUCAGAUCAACGGAAUCAGACACCCGCGUUGAACCCACUGAGCUACGCCAGCCAGGGCUCCCUGACAUCUCUUGCUCAGUGUUUCAUGAAUGAGCUCCUCCAUGUGGUUCCGGCUGAACGAUA